AGAUACACGACCAAACAUCUGAACGACGAAUCAACACCCAAGAACAUCCGUGCUUUACUGCAGCAAUAAAAAGCGAGAGAUUAGUGCCAGGAAAAUAAAUUAUCACAGCUUUGGUCACCACAAUAUCAUGGAUACCUAUUGGUUACAAAUGUACAAUCAUGGAUAAAUGGCAUCUCUCGCGGACCUAAGGGGUUAAAAGCGCAGUGUACAGUGGACAUAAUUACGUGUAAAGUAGAAAUUUGAUAGAGGAUUUUUUGUUAUAAAAACACGAGUGUGGAGGCUCACUGCUUUUUAUGGAGUGUUUGCAUGGGUAACUUAGAAUCCAGAGUGAAAUUUCAGUCCGGAUGCGUAAUACAAUAAGACUAGGGCCAAAAAAAAAUAUGUGGGUUUCCGGUUUCCCGACCCUACCUAGCUUUUGGAUGUCGAAAUCCCGACCCUAAACUUUUUUAUUGGAUCAUGCUUGUAAUUGUUUCCGCUUAGAGGAAAAAGUUUGUGGAAAAUUGAAAUUUGAGGCAAUA
rnacentral:lncRNA from 1 species